rnacentral:lncRNA from 1 species
GAGUUAUUGGCCUUUAUAGUCAAUUUUUAACCAUUUUUCGUAAAUCUUAGUUAUCUUUUGCAAAAAUCUUCUCCUCUGAAACUACUGGGCCAAGUUCAUUAUAGAUAGAGAUAAUUGUAAGCAGCAAGAAUGUUCAGUAAAGUAAGAUGUACAAACACAUCACCAUCACCAAAACACAAUUUUGUCAUGAAUCCAUCUGCGUCCUUUGUUUAAUAUUCACAUAGACCAAGGUGAGCGACACAGGCUAUUUAGAGCCUCUAGUUU